rnacentral:rRNA from 1 species
UCGAACGAAGCAGUCUUGGUAGCAAUAUCGAGGCUGACUGAGUGGCGUAAGGGGCAGUAAUGCGUGGGUAACGUACCCCCGGGUUCGGGAUAGUCAUGGGAAACUAUGAGUAAUACCGGACGAUGUCGCGUGCGACCAAAGAUUUAUCGCCCGGGGAGCGGCUCACGUCGUAUUAGCUAGUUGGUGAGGUAACGGCCCACCAAGGCAAAGAUGCGUAGCGGGUGUGAGAGCACGACCCGCGCCACUGGCACUGAGACACUGGCCAGACACCUACGGGUGGCUGCAGUCGAGGAUCUUCCCCAAUGGACGCAAGUCUGAGGGAGCGACGCCGCGUGCGGGAUGAAGGCCUUCGGGUUGUAAACCGCUUUAGGGGGGGAGGAAGCCGCAAGGUUGACCUAUCCCCAAAAUAAGCACGGGCUAAGUUCGUGCCAGCAGCCGCGGUAAGACGAACCGUGCGAACGUUGUUCGGAAUCACUGGGCUUAAAGGGCGCGUAGGCGGUUGGUCAAGUCAGGGGUGAAAUCUUUCGGCUCAACCGGAAAACUGCCUUUGAUACUGACUGGCUGGAGGGAGAUAGGGGUUGCGGGAACUACCAUUGGAGCGGUGAAAUGCGUUGAUAUUGGUAGGAACGCCGGUGGCUAAAGCGCGCAACUGGAUCUCUUCUGACGCUGAGGCGCCAAAGCUAGGGGAGCAAACCGGAUUAGAUACCCCGGUAGUCCUACCCUUAAACGAUGAUAACUAGGUUGUGGACUUGACAUGGGUUACAGCCGAAACAAAAGUGC